UUUUUUUUUUUUUUUUUUUGUCUUUUGUCUUUGUUGUUGUUGUUGUUGUUAUUGUUGCUAUUUCUUGGGCCGCUCCCGCGGCAUAUGGAGGUUCCCAGGCUAGGGGUUGAAUCGGAGCUGUAGCCACCGGCCUACGCCAGAGCCACAGCAACGCGGGAUCCGAGCCGCGUCUGCAACCUACACCACAGCUCACGGCAACGCUGGAUCGUUAACCCACUGAGCAAGGGCAGGGACCGAACCCGCAACCUCAUGGUUCCUAGUCGGAUUCGUUAACCACUGCGCCACGACGGGAACUCCUCAUCAUGCUUAAGAGAAAGUUCUAUCAAAAAAAUAAUGUUUAGAAGAUAAUACCUCAACUCUUUUUUUCCCUGUUUCCAUUGAGAUAUAAUUGACUAUAACAUCAUAAUAGUUUAAGGUGUAUAACAUAAUGAUUUGAUAUUUGUAUAUAUUAUGAAAUCACCAGUCUAGUUAAUAUCUAUCACCUCACAUUGCUCCACAUUUUUUUUUCUUGUGAUGAGAACAUUUAAAAGCUACUCUUAGCAACUUUCAAAUAUACAAGAGUAAUAUACAACAGUAUUGCCAAUUAUAGUCAUCACACUAUAUACUCCCUAUACCCAUUUUGCCCACUCUCCACACACCAUCUCUGGCAACCACCAAUUUAAGGGAUAUAUCUUUUUGAGCUUGGUUUUUUAGGUACCACAUACAGAUGAAAUCACAUGGUACGUGUCCUUGUCUGACUUAUUUUACUUAGUGUAAUGCCCUCAAGGUUCAUUCAUGCCAUCACAAAUGGCAGAAGGUCCUUCUUUAUGAGUGAAUAAUAUUCCACAUACACACACACACACACACACACCACAUUUUCUUUACCCAUUCAUCUGUCAUUAGACAUUGAGUUUGCUUCCACUUCUUGGUGCUGUGAACACUGGUUCAAUGAACAUGGGAGUGCAGACAUCCCUUUGAGAUAGUGAUUUCUGGAAACUCGACUCUCACUGACAUAGAAUAAAAGUGUGCCAGAUGUUCCUUUAACUCAUUAAUGAAAGAACCAGUGGUAUAGCAGAGCUGGUUCAAAAAGCAUUUGAUGACAGGGGUUUAAUCAGUCCCUUAAGAAAGAUGUAGGCAGGUAAGUUUUUAUUUAUUUGUUCAUGUUUGAAGUUAGAAAUAAAACCAAAGUCCUUCAGGGUGAUAAAGUGAUAACCUUUAGGGUUAUCUUCUCUACCAGACAGAAAAUACUUGCUUCUCUGCAGGACAGCUAUCUCCAUUGUACUUGUAACUUCAUAGCAAUCAAACCCAAUCAGCAAAUGGCAAAAGCAAACAAAGGUACAAGCACAUAGAAAAUUAAGUCAUCCUUGGGUGGGCUUGGUAAAUUACGUUCUAGUCCAACACCGAAAGAACAUACAGUCUUCCUUUCCACCCGGUUUUUAAGUUUGGGAUCAUUUCUCUUGAGUUCUAAGUCUUCAACACGGCCAGCAGCAUCAGCUCCUCCCCGGGCCCCAUCUGGUAAUUCUGCCCUCCUACCACAGGUUCCUCCCCACCCCUGGGCCACCACAGCCACUUCCUUUGUCUGGAAGGACAACCCUCCCCCUCCCCCACUCCUACUGAAGUCAUCCUCAGGGACCUUUCCUAGCCCCCCGGACUAGGUCACGCUCCCCAUAAACACCCCAGGCAGCCUUCUGUUUGCCUCCAUCUUGGCAUCUCUACAACACUGGUUAACUACCUCAUCGUGUGGUUAGCUGUUCAAAGUCUGGCCCCCUGACUGGAAUAUACAACCCCUGAGAGCAGAGGCAGGUCUGUUUCAAUCAUCAUCAGAUACCUGGGGCCUAGCGCAGAGCCUGAAGCAGGGAGAGGGAGGGCAGUCCUUGCCAUAGGACCCAGGGUCUCCACACCUGGGAGUCUCCUUGUGCCCAGUUCUGGCCAGAAGGCUGGCUGAGCUAUGUUCCAGGAAGCUCAUGUGAGGCUGGGCUAACUGGUCACAGGGAUACAGAGGCUGCCUUCACCCCUCACCCCCAUUGUGCUUGGCUUUUCAAAGUUUUCAAACAGAUUUCAAUUAGUUGUCAACAGUCAAGGUUUAACAAUCUGGAAUUUCCAUUUCCUCUUGGAAAAUCAUUAGGCCCCAGAGGCCACGCUUGGCUAGAGCAGAGGAGCAGCAAUUUCCUACCGUCUCUUGGCUGACCGAGCUGCAUGGCCAGCUGCCACCAGCUAUGAUGUGGGCACCCAGCCCAUGUCACACGUGUCUCCCUUGUCUGGGGGCAUUUGAGUUUUCAAGCAUUAUGCUGAAGUCUGUAAGAACCAAUGAGGUCAUCACAGAGAAACACGAUGGGACAUAGCUUUAGCUCCCCACAAAGCUAUCCUGCCUGCCCCACUGCUGAGACUCCAUCAUGUCCCCUCUACUUCCGGAACCCACCAAGAUGGACUCUCCACACAUUCAGAAAAACUGAGUCAACUGAGAAAUUUAAAUUAAAUAGUUUCUGUUGCAUCUUCCAUCAUAUUUCUCAGUUCUUCCAUAGAAACCCUCUCAAGAAUGUCCCCUUAGCUUUAGUGGAAGAAAAUACUUUUCUUUUCUAAUGAUCUGUUCCACCUUGUUUUAUUUGCAGAUGGGAACUCUGAAACCCAUUCAUAUUUCUUUCUAGCUUUGGCUAUCAGGAAACUCAAAGUUAAAUUCUGAGCUUGCUUGCCGCUGCAUUCUUUAGUUUCUGGUUUUUGGGCAACUUGGACACUUUGCUUACUCUGCCUUGCACCCUCCCUUCCCUUCUGGAGAAUUAUUCCCCCUGCCAUGACCCCCAACCAGUUUGACAAGCAUGACCCCACCCCACUCUGGCCAUAGCUGAUUGGUCUAGGAAUGGACUCCUGGCUCAAGCCAGUCCCUAAGUCCUUAGUUGAGGUAUGUUGGAACUAAGAGACGCAUUGCCCUUGAGACACUGGAUUGCAGAAGUCAAGUUUCAUAUAGUACCAGAGCUGCUGGCACCACGUGGACUGGGAUGCAGAGAGUGCAGAGAACACUCAUCAUGGGGGUAAAGACUCACCCUCCUGAGUUCAAAUCCAGUGCUAUUUUUGCCCAUGGCUCCCCUUGGACAUUCCUGUACUCUUUUAAUAAAUCUUUCCUUUUGUUAAAGCUACCUUGAGUUGAGUUUCUAAAUGGUUUAUAAUGUGAGGCUAUGCCAUUUGUCUGCUUCAAGCCCCAAAGUCCUUAAAAUAAAAUUUGAACACUUUACUAUACCCAAUAAGGCCCCCACACCAUCCGGCCUCAUCUAACCUCAGCAAAUUGGUCUCCUUUCUUCAUUUUGCUCCAGCCACAAUGGCUUUCUUGCUGUUCGCCUAACUCUCCAAGUUCCCAUGUGCCUCAGGGCCUUUGCACAUGUCACUCUUUCUGUAUGGAAAGUUUUCCUCCCAGAGCUUCACAUGGCUGGUUUUCUCCUCAUGCCACCAUCUCAGGGAGGCCUUUUCUAAUCACGCAACCUAAACGUGCCCAUCACCCCACUCCGCCCUUUCACUCACCCUGUUCACUUUCUUCAUAUCUUUGUCACUCUGAAAUUAUCUUAUUUAUUUGCUUGGUUACUUGGGCUUUGUACAAGUAACAUUCAAAUGUGAGCGCCACGAGGUCACAGCUAUAAGUAAGCCCAGCAAUGAGCACAGGACCUGGUACACAGUAGGUGCUCAACAGAUAGUCAUUGGUGGGUGAGUAUUCCUUAUACCAAAAAGCCCUCUUUAAUGCAACAGAUGACAACCCUCUCUCCUUACCCAUUUUCUUAUGUACUUCUUUGGUUCCUCAGUCUUCAUUUUACUAGUCUCUGUGUGUCUUUGCUGAUGGAUCCCUCAGAGCCUAUCUGCAGUAGACAGAAAAAAAAAAAAAAGAGAGAGAGAGAGAGAGAAUUUACCUAUGUGGCAAAUACUAUGUGCCAGGAUGUUUCUAAUAUUAGCUUAUUUAACCCUCCCACCAACCCUAAGAGGAUAGUGGCAUAGUCAUCACUCCAUGCUACAGAUGAACAGAGGCACCAGAGGUGGGGUCACUUUUCCAAGGAAAUCGGCCUAUCAGGGGCAGAGCAGCGACUCACGCCCAAGGAGUCAGGCUUUGAGCCCAUGGCUGUGACCUCUUGCCGGUCCCCUCGCAGGUGAAGGGAGGAAGGGUCCUCACUCCUGGGAGGCGAUCAUGGUCAGGUCCUACCUUCUUGGACCCCCUCUCACUGAUACUUGGGCUCUUGAGCAGAGUCCAGGAAGGCAUGUGCUCAUCCCAGCACAAAGCCAGGGUGCAGCGCAUGUGGUUAGGACUAUGACAGACUGUGACACGACAGCGCUGGAUGAUGGACGCCUUCCUCUAAUGACACCAAUUGAUAUAAAUGACAAUGGCGACCGCCUCAGCGGCAUCUGUGGGAUUUACACCUCAUUAGAUUGGUGCUGCCAAGUGAAGCAACAGGGUGCCGCCGUCCCCUCCUCGGGAGCCAGUUCUUUGCUGGGCAAAAAUUGUCAACGGGAACUGGAAAGUAGGAUCUAAACCCUCCAGGGAACAACACGGCAACGGAGCUGGAGGAAACAGAAACUCAAAUAGUCACAAUUUUGUGUUUGGGGGUUUCUGAUUUGAAUCAACUCUUUACACCUCUGCCAAGCUCCUGCUUCAGCUCUUCCUGAGGUUGGUGAUUUCGCCUGAGCACAAGCAAAACCACAGACCCACGUGGCUGGGGGAGGCCCAGCGGGUUCUGAGGUUUGGGGAUUCAGCAAAGGCAGGAACUCAGCUGUGUUGGGGGUGAUGCCACCUAUCGAUUCAGCCUCCUCAAAGAUUCCACUGGCCACUGCCACCUCCGUUAAAUAAACAAUAUGAGAGAAAGUGACACAUGCAGUGUCAAGACAACCCUCCCCCUGACUCCGCCAACAAGCCCCGCUCCUGAACGUGGUAUGAGCACUCCAGGAGGCCACCUCCCACACCUGCGAAUUCCUCCAGAGCCCCAAAGGAUAAAAACAGGAAGGCAGGCAGCCAGGAAAUCUGGAUUUCCUUAUUGGCUUC
ensembl:lncRNA